CCUUUUUCUUUUUUCUUUUUUUUUAAAUACAAAUGCAUAGUAACAAUUUGUAGGCCUUUUCUUAAAUUGCAUGUUUUGCAGUAGCCAUGAAAGUAAGCAAGCCAGGAGAUUAAGGAAGUGUGAGGAAAGCAAGUAAAACCCAGAAAAGAACAGCAAGAAGAGCACAGUAGUUUCUUUACAAGUCCAACAAAGAUGGUCUGGACAAACAUCACUCUAAUUGGAGCAAUUCUUCAGUAUUUUAUUGCAGAUAAAUAAGCCAUCCACUCUAUUAUAUAUGACAUUGCAUAUUUGUUCCAAUAAUCUUUAACUGGGUACUGUGACUGCACUGCUUUGUGUGUUUUCAUUCCAAAUGACUAAAACAAGCUUUGUAAAAUCUCCCCAGAAAAAUAUGAUGUCCUGUUAAAUCACUACUCCAAUAUGAUUACAAAACCCCCUGACUUUUAUUACUCUGUUAGUUCGUCAUAAGCCAUAAUAAAGCAGAGCAAUAACCAGCCAGCACGAAAGAGCAACCAUUUUCAGCAAAAGUGGGGAGAAGCAGAUAGGAUCUAGUUUGUGUUCUGCAAAGCCUCAAGCCAGCCAGAGGCUGACACUCUGCCUCUCGCUGGCUUCAUUAGAAAUAUCUCAGCAUCUCAUAGGAUUACUGAGCACCUGGUAAUAUCUACUUCAUCGGUGAAGUUCCAAGUACUCAGUGUCCACAUCACCUGUUAACAAAUUAUAGCCAAAGGGAUACUGUAUUUGUAAGAGCCAGUCCAAACACUAGUGAACAUCUUCACUAUUUCACUGGGUUAAAAAAGGUGCACCCACUCAAGUCAUCAAUGAAGGCAUCAUAUCAGUACCAUGAGGAUCAGACCAUGUAAAAUGAUUUUGCAAUAUUUCCAUAUCAUAAAAUAUGUACAUACAUUAAAUCCACCAAUCUUGUUGCCUACAAAUACUGCUGAUGCCUAGGAAUUUACUAAGCCAUCCACAGAGCUUUGUGAACUGUCUUUAGGACCUGAGCCAAACCUCAGACCCUGAGCCUUCUUCAUUGUUAUGAACACUUUUAUAGUACUCAAUUAAAGUUGUUUUUCUUAUUUUAAUUAACCAAUUUCUUAAUAGCAACAAAACACUUGCAGACACACACAUGCAUUUCACUGUGAGGAGAUUAUUGCACAGGAAAUAUGUUAAAUUCAUUUGGUCUGCGACCUGGCAUCCUCUAACAUCAUCGAAGUAGGCACUGGAUUUACAGAUCAGCACUGUAUUGCCUGCAGCACCCUGACACGUACACCCCUGCACCUCACACAGAGAAACUCAUUAGAAAACUGGCCUGAAGGAGCAGAAAUAAAAUUAAAACAAAACAUGGAAACUGUUGAUGCAGAGUAAAUGUGGCCCAAAACAGGGUAAUUCCACUUGUACAUUUGUUAACAUAGGGCAAAAAUGCAACUCUUAUGGAAACUUUCAGCAGAAAUCAUAAAUAAGCAAUGAAGAUACUGGUCUUUUCAAGUGCCACAUAGUUCAGUAGAGAACUCACAACCACUUAAUGAACAAUUUGUUAAAGAAAAGAGAAGUAGUGAGUUUUUCCCUCAAUUAAAUUCAAUGGGAUUGCAUGUAUAAGUCAACUGUAACUCAAAGUGACAUUCUGGUAAUAUUAAAUACUCAUUGAAAUUUUGUAUUAAUUCAUGUAUUGUUCUAAUGGAUCUUUUUUUUUUUUUUGUGAGUGCACAAUUCCUUUUUUUCAGCACAGCACUGUAUAUUACCUAAUCACAUCGAGAAAAUUUUGAAAACUCCAACUUCACAACCAAUGCCAUCUAAGCAACCCUACUCAGAGGGGCAAACUGGUGGAAGAGUGAUACCUCCUCUAAUCAUCAGUGAAAGCCUUGAAUACCUAAGAAAGAGGUCGGAUUUUUUUUCCAAAAUAGUUGUCAUUCUGUUCUCCUUUCAACUGAGAUAUUGUUGACUUUGAAAACCUGAACCCUGGAUACUCCGCAAGGUAUGAGUUAAACUAGAGAAAAUAUUUUAUUUAACUUUAUAUUAACCCUAGUGUUGAACAAUGAGGUGAUUAGAAACUUCCCUUUCACAUAUCCUGGCAUUCGUCCACUUGAACACUUUCCAUUUAAUUUCUUUGUUUAUUUUCUUUUUAAAGGAAAAAAAGCCACUUAUGGGUGAAGGCAUAAAGCUGACAGUCGAACUUCCCCUAAAUAUUAAUCUUGGAGAGUGACCAAACCAAAUAUAUUUGCUUCGAAGUUGCUGUUUCUAUUUUUAUUUUAUUUUCUAAUUUAGAAAGGUGUAAGAAAAGGAGAUUGUAAUGGAAGCUGAGUUUCAUUCUUGACCACAGCAAGUACUGGAAAGAUCUCACAAUGAUUUAUGUGCAUACAUCUUAUAUUUCAUUUCCUUAUCUUUUUAAAUGAGUUGUGAAUAAUUCAGAGAAUGACUGUCUGGAUAACAGAGUUUGUGCACCCCUGAAGAUCGAAAUCUUCUAAUUACCCAGUAACAGAUACAGCCUGGAAGUUGCGACACCAGCUUUCCCUAUCCCACCUAUCCAUGGCCCAGGACUCAUCCCUAUGCAUGAGCCCUUUGCUAUCCAACUCCCAAUUAGUUCUCAGCUUGUCCUUCAAGACAUCCAACAAGGCUGACAGUGAAGAUAACGUUCAUAAGAGGCCACUUGCCCUGGGGGAAGUCAACUGUCACUAUCAAACUUGUUCCAGCAAAAUAUUAAAUAUUUGGCGUAUGAUAAUAACAUACCUGUCACUAUUGCCUCAGAUCAGCUUUCAACCUCACCGGAGAGAGACUCAUAAAUCCUUACUUAGCUCUUAUUAUUUCCCAGUAAGUCCUCCUCUUUGUGCAAUAGCUCUUGAGCUCAUUGACCUGAGUACACACUUAAGAAACUCUGUUAGUUAUCUAAAACAAGAUAAAAUGAAGACAGGCAGAAGCUGAGUUAAUCACUUGGACAUAUGGAAAUAAUGUGGCAAUGCUGUUUGUAUGCAGGCAGGCAGUUCCCUAAUAGUAUCACUGCAAAACACUCAGGGGUUUUUAACAAGGGGGAAAAAAAAUACAAGGGAGCUGCAUAAGAUAGCCAGAAUUUGAUAGAUUUGAUUGAAAGCUCCUCUUCUGCUUUUUUUGCUGUGGGCAUAAUGAGCAGGAUCUAUAAUUGCUAAACAGCAUUUAAAAACUACAGCCAAAUUCAAAUCAAAGAAUGAGGAAACUUUUCAGUUAGGAACACGGAGACUAACUGGACAAUGGGAAAACACCAAUUUUGUCAUAAAACUCUUCUUGAAAUAUACUAAAAUAGACAGUCCUGGCUAUUUAGCCCCACUGCAAGCGCCAUUCUGAAGAUAGGAGAUGGGCUUGGGUUUGGUGUUUGGAAAUUCAGGUCUUCACAUUGCCUGUUCCCUUUGGUAAGUCUUGCACAAAAAUUAGCCAUUUUGUUCCUCCAGUGGCUAAUUGUAGAGUGGUGGCUUCAGAGCUGUGCUCUUCUGAUCCAAGGACACCUUCCCAAGGCAGGUUUACCCUGAGACUCCCCUACUCAUUUGUGCUUCUAGAAUUGUCCCCGAUUUAAAUGACCUUUCUUUUCUGUCAUUUGUUUUCCUGAUAAUAUUUAUAGAGACCAAUCACAAAAAUAUUAAAGAUGUGCAUAUUGAUUCAGAAAGGAAAAAAAACAGGAACAGCAUGACUGAUAUAAUAUAAACAGCUGGGGGUGGAGAGGUUUAAAGGUGUGAAAUUUCUCUCUGCAUUUGAAUAUCAAACAUACUGUGUUUGGGGGUGAGAGGGGAAUGGGAUUGUUUCAUUUGAUUAACAAGAGGCCACUAACAAAGUUUAAACCUGAAUUUGCCAAAUGGUUUGGGUGGUUCAGCUGCCAAUGUUUUAUUCAGCUAGCUGCAUACAACCAGCACCCAUCUGUAAGAUGUUUCCUUCCCUGUGUUUAUUUCCCAGGAGGCAACAUUGGGAACCACUGAGCUGAGACCAGUUUCCUCCAGUCCCUCCCAUCUGCCAACAUGCAAAUGUCACAUUUCCCUGGGCCAGGCAUUCAGGUGUCAUGGGCUAGUGAGCUGCAAGUGCUGAGCUCAGGUCAGCUCUCAGCUGGCCACAGGAUCUGACCCAGUGGCUGCUCUGCUCCCGUGGGCAGAGGGAGGUUUCAGCUGGGUGGAAAGGAACCAGCUCCAUGGCUGACUUCCUUGUGAAGAACAAUAAAAUCAGAGAGUGGGGAGCUCACACCAGUCUGUUUUCUAGAAUAAUCAUAUCAACAAUAAAAACAAAUCUCUUUUUCCAGCCCAGCCCUGUGGAGCUGCCAGAAUGGACUUUAGAGAUGUAAUCCCCAGCAGCUGGACCAUUGUGUGGCGCUCUCAUGGCUGGUUUAGGCCAGAUCCAUCAGCUGCCAGCGCUGCAGGAGCAGCAGAAUGCUUGGCACGGGCUACAAAACCUGCCCAGGAAGGAGUUGGCACCCAGCAGGUACCUGAGCCUGAGUCUCCGGCAGGCUGACACAUGUGCCACCACAGCAGCGAGUCCCUGCCCCUCUGCAAGAGGUGACAAUGAGGACACUUGGCCAGGCCUCUCUGGUUGGUCACUGCUGCAACACAGAGUCUUGGACUCCCCUUGAAGGGUGGCCUGCAAAGGCAUGACCUUAAACUUCACAGCUGUGUGUCCUCAGCCCAUCGAAAAUGAGGACAUCUCUUCAGCAGCUGGAGUAUCACCAGACUGGGAGAUUGAGUAGGUCCCCUGCCAUAGCAGCGCCUGUGAAAGGGAAAUCAAUAAGGUAAGGUAAGGUAACAUUAUAAGGAUGUCUCCUCUGGAGAUAGUGCAGGCAUUUGGUGGCAAUAACUCCUGUUAACUUCUUGCUGGUCACAUCUGAAACGAUGAACUUGGCUGUACCAUAUUCCUUUUUCUAGACCAUUUCCUAAACUAUUGAAAAUGAGGAAAGUGUUUGCAUUUGAUUUUGCCACUAAGUGUUAAUUUGGGACCUGCUAUACCUUCUUUGUAGUCUCUAUUUCAGUAAUUUUAAAACUGGUGGGAUGAUAUAGAAAAAUAGGGCUACAGCCCUAUUAAAGAAAGGAGCUAGAAAAUACGGUACUCUCUUUUAAACAAUUCAAAACUGUUCCAUAUAUGCUUUAAGCUCUCAUCUGACAGUUUUCAAUCAACUAGUUCACACUCAAGCUUAGCCCCUUGUAAGGUUUCAGUCCUAACUGUGUUCUGCUAGUAUUUUAAAAGUUGAGGAGAACUGCAUGUGGGCAAUAACUGGAGAUAGAGAAAACACCCUAAAAAAACAGUACCCAGUUUGGUAACAUGGAUUGCAGCACAGGAGACAGUCAGCUUUGAAGACUAGGCAGAAAGCCAAGCCACCCCUAGUCACGGCUGGAACUGGAAACACAAAGGAUUGCAUCCCACUCUUCCCAAGUCACAGUUCCCCAAACCCUUACUCAGCUGUUACUUACGGUGCUGAAAAUUGUUUUCAGAAUUCUUGGAAAUGCCUGUAAUCUCCUUGGCUUCAACAUUUACACCCAAUAUAGUCCCAUAUCAGAUUGCAAGUCUGUUUCCUGAUGGAGGGGGUGCUCAGGCCUAGGCAUCAGCCUUCAGUCCCUGGACAACUUCAGUCAUGAAACCAGCAUUGCUGGGGCAAAGAUUUAGGAUGGAGCUUCUCCCUUUCCAGGGAGAGUAAGAGAGGAGAGAUGCACUUGCUCAUGCAAGUUGUUUUCCUCGGCACUGAGUAGUGGUCACUCAUUCCGUGCAAGGUGGGAAGCUGUGCAGGGAUGGAGAGAAGCUGUCCCCUGUAUCACAAAAGACAGUUGUCCAGGAUGGCAAUGCCUGCACAGCCCUUGCUGCCUGCAGGCUUGGAGCAUUGCCCUCCCUCGCAAUGGAGAUGCCUUUCAGCAUCCCAGAAUGAAGUAGUUAAAGCUUGGAGACUUCAGGGUGUAAGGCAUGAUCCCAAGGCUGAUCACAGUGAUGUCUGGUGACAGUGACCACGUGGUCCUCAGCUGCUUGCCUUCCAGAGAAGUGGGAAUGGUCAUAUCACCAGACAAAGCUUGUCCGGGGGAACAGCUUACCAGCAGCAAGCCUGGUUGUCACCUCUUCAUAGUUUUCCCCCAAUGUCCACAUUAAACAGGUCCCUGUUAAACACUCCCUGAAUCUUCUUCUGUGCUUUGGUUCUUCCCCCCUAACCUGUGCAGGGAAUCUGGGAGCUUAAUGCAGGCUGUGUCAGCUUUGCUUCUGCAGCAGGGCUGCUAUAAUUUGUACUAGUUUGCAUUCCCAAGGCCAUUUGCAUGUUUCACCUUUUUUCAUCUAUUUUAGAUCUUCCCUCACACGCUUCGCCCCCCACUUGCUUCUCUUCUCUGCAGGGAUUCUCCCAGAGCUUGCUCUACAGAAAUCUCUCAUCGUCCUUAGCUGAGUUCUUCUGUGCAAUGCGUAGUGAGAGUUACAGGGGCUAAAAGAAGAAAGCUGACCUGCCGGACACAGCAGGCCGUUGCUGCCCUGGAAAACAAGCACUUGUGGUCUCUGCAUGGAGUCCGUGUGUGAGGGGGGGUUGACCACUCAAACUCAGUUGUCUACAGGCAGUCACAUCCUCUAAGCAUGCUGGACAACAAUGGCCUGACCCAGAGACUUGGACUGAUGUGCAGACUUGAAGGACACUGUUACUGACGAGAUGUCUUUGUACCACACAUAAGACAUGAUUAUGAUUCUGACAAAUGAAAAUGUCUCAGACUGAGCUCUCAGAAAUACUGCUUUGGACUCCAGUGCCUGCACCUCAGAUCCUUCUGUUUGAUGAGGAUAAAGUAUGUCCUUAAUGCAGUGUGUGUCCUUAAAAGAAAGCAGUAUUUGUGAAGCACUCAGAUACUUCAGCGUCACAGGAAAAAUUGAAGAAACUAGUAGUUCUGACUUUGGAACAAGAGCUGGGUAGUAGGUAGUGACUAGGGUAUGGAAUAAUGCAUUCAAAAAGAAAGUUGCAAUGAAAUAUUUAAUACAUUGAUGCAAAGAUGCUGUGGGCAUUUUAGACAGUGUCAUAAAGUUUGGCAAUCACAUUUGCAAAGGCCAAACUGGGGUUUCACGGAUAACAUUACCUGUUUGGUUUUUUUUUUCAUUUUGAGUACUUGAGUUUGUAGCCCUAAGACCAUUUUUUUUCCAAACUGAGCAACAGCACCACUUCUAGAAAACUUAAUGCCCAGGGAGCUCACAAUCAAACAUUUAUAGCUUUAUGGGCAACAAAUACUCUGCAAGACAAGACUACAAAGAAGUCCCAUGCACAAGUAUUCUUUUUGCUCUCACUCUAUCCACUUCUCUCACCAUACCCUUUUUUCGAAUACUUAUUACAUUGUCAGCAUUGUUAUUGGCAAUCCCACUGCAAACUAGUAAAAUGGGGAAUGAUGUUUAAUGCCUUUUUAUGGAUUUCUCAGUUGAUUCAGUUGGGUCCUAUUCAAAUAUUGUGUUCAUUUUAAAUGCUGCAAAUGGUGAGGCAAGCGUGACUUUUGUUCAAGAAUCUGUUUUUCAAAUACAUCAUAUUUAGAGACCUAUAAAUAAAAAAAAUUCAGAAAUAAUGUUGAUUAAUUUUAGGCAACUGGCACAGUUUUCAUACUGUACUUCAACCACUAUCUUAGGAGUUGUUUCUGUCAGGAAAAGACUGCACUAUGAAUAAUUCUUUCAGUAUUUCUGUGGAUGCUGACUUCUAAGGCAACUGAAACAAAAGCAGCUCUUCAGAGGAGGUCUAUGCAAGAUUUCCCAGCCAAUGAAGCUUCUAGGAAAGAUCAGAGAGAACAAGACACCACAAAUGAGGCUGCGGUACUCAGUGCCAGGUAGGGCUAGCUUUGUCCAGCACCUAUAGGGAUGUUGGAAAGGACAACUUGCAACCUAUUUAUUGGGGUCACUGGUGGCAAUGCUGGGAGACCUGCUCCUCGACUUUGUUUCUGUAGCAUUGCUAUAUGGUGCUGGUGUCACUCAGCAUCUCACACUCCACAGGGACAUGGGAGAAAUUUAACUCCCUGCUGCAAUACACUCUUUUUUGUAUCAAAUGGGUUUUUUUGUUUCUCCUGGAGUUCAAUAGUUUGGUGCCUGGAAGGGCUGUGCUGUAAAGCGUGCUCUGCUCCUGUUUACAGUCACUAGUAGGAUGGAGAGCAAUACACUCAUUUACUCCUAGGUAACAGCUGUGCUUAAUCAUCCAUGGGACUGUAAGACGUCCUCUUAGUGUCUACCUAAUUAGCAGCUCUGCCAUUUAUUGGAAUAUUUGGCCACUUCAGUUUGAAAACUGAUUUAUUACUAUCAAAGAAAUUAUCAACUCUUUCAAACAUCCUCUGGAUGCUUCCCUAGGAUACUCACUGAUAGGGGUUCCUAGAAUGUAUAAAAUCUGUUAAGUACUUGAGCCUUCAUACAAAUUUCCUACAGCAAACAACACCAAGAAUCUUUGGAACUCCAGUUCUUCACACAAUUCAUCAUCUAAUUCAUUAGUUCAAAAUCUUGUAUUUGGAUUUUAAAAAAAACCCCAUCAUCAUUAUUUUGGAAUUGCAAUCCUGUCACGUAAAAAUCCCCACACAACUUUAUAUGUGUUUGUCUUACUGAUUUUAAAGGUCCACCUGCUCGAUUUGCAAGUAUCCUAUUUGGUCUCCUAAAUGUCAGUCAGGAAAAACAUGGCAUCAGCCUUCAUUGGUUCUCUUCACUUGACAGAUAUAUGUCUGCGUGUCAAAAGAACAUGCUGUGGUUCUGCCACAGUCCUAUCUGUCCCAUUUAACUUAGUCAUUAAAUUGAAAAAAAAAACUAAAACAAAAAAACAAAACCAAAACCAAACAAACAGAAACCACCCCCCUGCCCCCAAAAAAACCACAAACCAAAAGAAACCACCACCAAAGAAAAAACCCCAAACCCUAAAUGGAUUGCAGUAAGACAAGUGUGCUAGUUUCAUGGUAGGGGAAAAGCAAGCUGUAUUAACUCUGACAUUUCUAAACCCCAAGACUGUGGUUUUAGCUUAGGAUGGAUCCUGGGAACAAGGAUCUGCUUUCACACACGUGCUGCAAUACAGGGACCAAGAUACAUUCUGACCCCACUCUGCACUUGCCUGGACAGGGUGCAGGGGCUGGCAGCCUCAGCAGUGUGCACUGCCCACAGAUCACACACCCACACGUGCAUUUAAUGCAUCAAUAAAUUUCUUGAACAGUUUUUUAUGUCUGUGUGACAAAUGACUGGGGGGGUAAGAAUUUUCUACAUCAGUAACCCUCCCCACCCCUUGCUCCACCCCACUCCACCAAACAGAUGCCCCGUACCUGGAGACGUUUCAAUGCCUAAAUUAUUAAUAAAAUAAGCAUGAUAAUGAAUAAUCUAUGUUAAGCAUUUUCUUACCCUUUAUUUUUUCAUUAUGAUCAGAAGAGGAAUAUGAUUAACAGCAGUUUAAACUUUAGCAGUACAAUUUCAGUAUUAAAUAUAAAACUACACUGCAAGUUGAUGUGUUUUAAAAAUGGUUAUGUAUACUCUAACCUUAAAUUUAUGUAUCAAAUACAAGUAACUCAAUUGUUUCUUGCCUUGACAAUUAACAUAUCUAACAGGUUUCAACAAGCCAGACAUCCAUCUUUUCCAUUUAAAAAAAAUAAGCAAGCACACCAACUCUUAUUCAUAGCAAGGGAGUGUAAAGAUUCAACACUUUCCUGAGUGUUGUGCAAAGAAUAACAGGUUCAAGAAAGUCAGUUAGAUAAAUGUAAUGAUAAACCUAAAGCUAAGCUGGAGGACCUUUUGAUUAACUUCAUAUUUCAUAUAUUACUUGCAUCAGUUGAGAGCAACAUGAGUUACAGAACUUCCAUGAAAACAAGCCACUUACAAGCAGGUGUUUAAGCUUGAUCAGUUUAUUAAAAGGAUUAUAUGACACGGUUGCCUGCAAUAGCAGGGGACUGGAUCUGAUGACCCAGGAAGUUCUUUCCAGUCCCAUGUUUCUAAGCCAUGCACCAAGUGUAUCCAGCCCACACUUUCACAUUUGGAAAAAGCCAAAGCCACACACACACGCUCACAGGAAAAAAAAGUAAAAAAGAAAAUAAAAAAGACCUCGAUGACACCAUUUCAUUUUCUAGAUAUUCACUAUGCAGAAGGGAACAGAGCUAAAGUCCUGUACAGAGGAUACAUUUACUCGAGGUUGAUGUGGUACUGAAGUCAGUUAAUAAUUAGAUACCUCCAGGCAGAUUCAGUUACAGGGCAUACCAACACUGCACACUGCCAGACAAUUUCUAAUCAAGCCAAGAACCUCUUGCAGGAUGAGGUCUGUUUGCUAGCAAGCACAGGGUACACUGAAUAAGCUAAAAGCAGCUGUUCUUAAAUGAACUACCCUACCAACCGUGAGUGAAUGACAGAUAGAUGGUAAGAAGCAUUUACCUACUAGACAAGAUCUCUGCACACUCAGGCAGAAGUAAUUAGUUCAGAGCUGCAACCAUUGCUCCUACCUUGCCUGUCUCUUGAGUAUGUUCUCUUUAAAAGCUGGUCUACAGAAUCAGUGCAGCCAUUCUCAAGCACUACUGAAGUAGCAGUUUGCAGCUGCUAUGCAAGACUCUACUUUCAAAUGGUAGUCAGACAUUCCCAUCAUGUGGUCAGUUUGCUAAGACAGCAGCCACAGCAAUCAGCCUUUGCAACAAAUGAUAUCUAAACAAUUGCCUGCAUUCAGCCCAUCUAACCUUUAGGCACUUUGUUAAGGUGUCUGGGUCCCUAGUCACCCAGGUCUCCCCCCACCCCCCAGGAAAAGAAUAAAAAUAUCAGUGAAGGCAGAUAGUCUCAAUUGCCUUCUGGAGGUGUCUCUUGACCCCUCACUGAGCAAAGCUGUAUUUCAAGCAACCAAAUUCUUAACACAGGCACCUCAGUUAGACAGGAUGAAUGGAGACUUGCAUCUCUUCCAAGAGAUAGUAUCAAUACUCUCCAAAACCAAAGGCAAUUAAGCAAUUAAGGUUUGCAACUCUAGUUACAUUUGGAAACAAACUUACAGUCAAGUGAUUAUGCAGUAAUCCCUCCCUCCCAAGCAUAAAAGCCUUCCACAUGGAGGCUCUGCUGCUAAAAAAAAAAAAAAAAGAAAAGAAAAGAAAAAAAAAAAGGAGAGAAAAAGCAUUCUUCUUUCAGACAAAGAAGACUGCACACGGCUGCUUUGCCA